CAAUGGAAUAUUUUAGAGUUCUUUGAUAUAUAUAAAAUUUAUGUGAACAUCUUUUAAAACAUACAAGAAAUUCUUUUUCUAGGAAUAAAAUUGUCAUAGCCUAUUAUUUUAUAGAGUAGUGGUUUCAUAUUUUUGAAUAGUCUGUCUUUCCAUUUCAUUACUUUUUAUUAGAUUUUGCUAUGUCGCCCUGGGGGGAAAAUAACUUAAAGAUCUGUAUAUUACAUACAUGCUUCAAUAUAAUCAAGCAUUAAAAAAUGAUUAAGGAACCAGUCUGUCUAUAUAGAUCUGUAAAGAAUAGUGCCACAAAAAAUGCUAUAUAGUUUUCAGUUCACAUUGACUAAUUUUGGUAAACCAGACCUAUUGGAAGAUUUUUCUGAGUGGAAGCAAACGUUUUCUGUCAACUUCCAGUAAUUUCCCAUGUUUAUUGUUUUGUGUGAAGUAAUAAAUGUGUUCAUUAAAUUUUAACUGUAUCAUGUAGGAAACAUGGUCUGAACAAUCAGGUAAAGCCAACAGAAAGGUUAAUUAAAGGGUUUUAUUUUUUUGGUUUACUUUUUUUGGUUUUGGCGGAUGUAGGGCAAAGAAUGUGGGAGGAGUUACAUUGGUUUAAGUUUGUAAUGUCCUUGUUUACAAAUGACAGUUUUCCCAAUUAGGUAUUAUAUGUUGUUAUAAUUUAUAUCAGAAAUAGUAAAUAUAAACCUUACUAGACUUUUCUGACACUAAAAUUUCAACACUUCUAGAAAAAUUUUUACAUAUAAGAACUUCUGAGACAGAUGGUAGGGACAAUUUUAAUAGACUAUAAAAUAUUAAAUUCUCUUAAAAUGUGUAUUGUGGCUGGGUGGUGUGUGCCCAUAAUCCCAGCAGCUCUGGAGGCUGAGGCAGGAGGCUCAUUCAAAGCCAGCAUAAGCAACAUAGCAAGGCCCUAAGCAACUUGGUGAGAUCCUGCCUCAAAAAAAAAAAAAAAAAAAAAAAAAAAAAAGGGCUGGGGAUGUGGAUUAGUAGUUAAGAACCCUGGGUUUAAUCCCUGGUAGCAAGUGUUGUGUUG
rnacentral:lncRNA from 1 species